CCAGAACACUACUGUGGCAAGAUACUGGACUUGGCCUUUGUCCUGAGAAGUCAGAGGAUUACAAGAAUGGGGUUCUCCAAAGAAACCCACGUAAGUCACUACAGACUGUUGCCAUGGGGACAGCAUACCCUCACAGGCAGCCAAAGGCAAGACUGAGGAUGGGUCAUGUGACCAGACGGCAGCCAGUGGUCCCUGGCAGUUUGAGAGAGAGAAUCCAAAAGAUGGAGAGAGUGGAAGCAUCAAAAGAUAAAACACGCAAGAGACACAGGAGAAGAGUUCUGGGGACCACAGGAGAAAGGGCAGAAAGGACAUCUGGCGAGCACGUGAAGGAAAGACAUCGCGCUAGCACGUGGAGGAGAAGACAGCGGGAGGGGGGCGGGGGGAAGCACGCGGAGGAGAGGACAUGGGGCGAGCGCGUGGAGGAGAGGAUAUUGGACGAGCGAGGGGAGGAGAGGACAUGGGGCGAGCAGGUGGAGAAGAGGCCAUUGGGUGAGCAUGUUGAAAGAACAUCUGGCGAGCGCUUGAAAGCAAGAAAGACAAGCGUAGGGCAGAAGGAGCGAGCAUGAGCGAGCAGUGCGCCAAGAGAAUGAGAAGGAUGGAGAGCUGUUCCUAGCAAAACCAGGGGAAGGGGGGACCUAAUAAGAAGCAAUUAGAAGGAAAGUGAAAAGACUUAUUCUAGGAGUUUGGUGUUAAAAAGCAAAUGAAGUGGAAAUUUUGUAAG